AGAGUUUGAUCAUGGCUCAGGAUGAACGCUAGCGGGAGGCCUAAUACAUGCAAGUCGAGCGGUAGUAUCCUUCGGGAUAUGAGAGCGGCGCACGGGUGAGUAACGCGUACAUGACCUACCUUCAAGACUGGGAUAGCCCUGGGAAACUGGGAUUAAUACCGGAUGUGAUAAUGUUUGUAAGUGAAUAUUAUUAAAGUUGAGGCGCUUGGAGAUGGGUGUGCGUAUGAUUAGCUAGUUGGUGAGGUAACGGCUCACCAAGGCGACGAUCAUUAGGGGGCGUGAGAGCGUGACCCCCCACACGGGUACUGAGACACGGACCCGACUCCUACGGGAGGCAGCAGUAAGGAAUAUUGGUCAAUGGGCGGAAGCCUGAACCAGCCAUCCCGCGUGCAGGAUUAAGGUCCUAUGGAUUGUAAACUGCUUUUAUUAGGGAAGAAACGCCUUCAUUUAUGAGGGUCUGACGGUACCUAAGGAAUAAGCACCGGCUAACUCCGUGCCAGCAGCCGCGGUAAUACGGAGGGUGCAAGCGUUAUCCGGAAUCACUGGGUUUAAAGGGUGCGUAGGCGGGUUAUUAAGUCAGUGGUGAAAGCUGGUCGCUCAACGAUCAAAUUGCCAUUGAUACUGAUAGUCUUGAAUUGAGUUGAGGUUAGCGGAAUGUGACAUGUAGCGGUGAAAUGCGUAGAUAUGUCAUGGAACACCAAUUGCGAAGGCAGCUAGCUAGGCUUAUAUUGACGCUGAGGCACGAAAGC
rnacentral:rRNA from 1 species